UCCCGGUUGAUCCUGCCGGACCUGACUGCUAUCGGAUUGAUACUAAGCCAUGCGAGUCUUUGUAGUAAUACAAGGCAGACGGCUCAGUAACGCGUAGUCAAUCUACCCUAUGGACGGGGAUAACCUCGGGAAACUGAGAAUAAUACCCGAUAGAACAUUAUGCCUGGAAUGGUUUAUGUUCCAAAUGAUUUAUCGCCGUAGGAUGGGACUGCGGCCUAUCAGUUUGUUGGUGAGGUAAUGGCCCACCAAGACUAUUACAGGUACGGGCUCUGAGAGGAGUGGCCCGGAGAUGGGUACUGAGACACGGACCCAGGCCCUAUGGGGCGCAGCAGGCGAGAAAACUUUGCAAUGUGCGAAAGCACGACAAGGUUAAUCCGAGUGGUUUCUGCUAAAGGAACCUUUUGUCGGUCCUAGAAACACCGAUGAAUAAGGGGUGGGCAAGUUCUGGUGUCAGCCGCCGCGGUAAAACCAGCACCUCAAGAGGUCAGAAUGAUUAUUGGGCCUAAAGCAUCCGUAGCCGGCUCUGUUAGUUUUCGGUUAAAUCUGUACGCUCAACGUACAGGCUGCCGGGAAUACUGCAGAGCUAGGGAGUGGGAGAGGUAGACGGUACUCGGUAGGAAGGGGUAAAAUCCUUUGAUCUAUUGAUGACCACCUGUGGCGAAGGCGGUCUACCAGAACACGUCCGACGGUGAGGGAUGAAAGCUGGGGGAGCAAACCGGAUUAGAUACCCGGGUAGUCCCAGCUGUAAACUAUGCAAACUCAGUGAUGCAUUGGCUUGUGGCCAAUGCAGUGCUGCAGGGAAGCCGUUAAGUUUGCCGCCUGGGAAGUACGUACGCAAGUAUGAAACUUAAAGGAAUUGGCGGGGGAGCACCACAAGGGGUGAAGCCUGCGGUUCAAUUGGAUUCAACGCCGGA
rnacentral:rRNA from 1 species